rnacentral:rRNA from 1 species
UACGUAGGGUGCAAGCGUUGUCCGGAAUUAUUGGGCGUAAAGAGCUCGUAGGCGGUUCGUCGCGUCGGCUGUGAAAACCUGAGGCUCAACCUCAGGCCUGCAGUCGAUACGGGCGGACUUGAGUACUGCAGGGGAGACUGGAAGUUCCUGGUGUAGCGGUGAAAUGCGCAGAUAUCGGGAGGAACACCAGUGGCGAAGGCGACUACCUGGCCUGUUCGUUGACGCCUGGAGGCGCGUGAAAGCCUAAGGGGCAAAGCGGGAAGUAAGAAACCC